GAAAGAAGGAGAACAGGAGAAAAGGGGAGUACAUAGGAGAAUGGAGAACAGAGGAUAAUAGAGAAGAACAGGAAAACAGAGGAGAAUGGAGGAGAACAGAGAAGACUAGAGGAGAACGGAGGAGAAUGGAGGAGAACAGAGGAGAACAGAGCGUCCUCACUCCUUUCCUGAAGGAAUCAGACGAACUCUGAGUCAGUUCAAUCAGCUGCUCUAAUGUGCAGUGACUCCAGAGAAGAACAGUAACCACAGGAACCAUCCUCCACACACUAAAGGCUUUGGCCAGACACGUUCCUCGGGUUCUUCAGGUUCUUCAAUCUUCAGAAACGUCCUGAGUGUCCCACUGGUCCUGACUGCCACGUUUACACUGUUGCUCCUGUCAUUGUAACCCCUGCCCCUAGGGGGUGCCCCAGUCUGAAGACUCAUUUGCCCCCAAUUUUGGAAGAUAGAGACUCUAUGCCACGUUUUCUAACAGCAAAGCUGGACAUGUGGGCUAUACUGGUGCUUUCUGUCUUCUGGACAAGGUCAGCCGAGAUGAAUCUGAGGUUAUGGAUGACCGUGUCAGACGCUAAUGGCCUGAAAAGGAGAAAAAAACCUUCUGCACUGGACAUUUUUCCACCGCUUACGUUAAAAUGAUCCAACAAAAUCUGCUUAUUCUACCUUCUGUUAAAUUAACACCUGUUCGCUCUUAUAGACAUUAACACCGACGAUGUACCGCAUAUUUAUACAGCGUAGAAUUUCCAUGGUAACGAACUGUAGAGCACUUCAGUCAGCGUUUUUUAAAGACGAAAGAGCAAAAUGCAAUAUUUUCAAGCUCAUAAUCUGCUUUAUGAAUCCUUCUUGGUACUAUGUACCUAGAUUUACAUAAUUAAACACUAUGUUCUAGAUGUUUUUAUCUGAGGUCCUUUAACAGACUGUAUGGGUUCUGUAUUUAUUCUGGGUUUAUAGUGGGAGGCAUUAAACUGAUGAUCGGCUGAUGUAUGUAUGUAUGUAUCUGGUCACACCUGUUAAAGGUGAUUUUCUACAGAUCGUUUUCUCCUCAGGUGAAAGAUUCUCCUCCAGAACUCCUGUAAUCCAAAAGUGCAACAAUGAUUAAACCACACUUUCCUUCAGUAAUGCACAUUUUAACGUAUCUCUAAUAAACAGACUGGUCCUCAAA